rnacentral:rRNA from 1 species
UACGUAGGGGGCAAGCGUUGUCCGGAUUUAUUGGGCGUAAAGAGCGUGUAGGCGGCCAGGCAGGUCUGCUGUGAAAACUCGAGGCUCAACCUCGAGACGCCGGUGGAAACCGUUUGGCUAGAGUCCGGAAGAGGAGAGUGGAAUUCCUGGUGUAGCGGUGAAAUGCGCAGAUAUCAGGAAGAACACCCGUGGCUAAGGCGGCUCUCUAGUACGGUACUGACGCUGAGACGCGAAAGCGUGGGGAGCGAACAGG